rnacentral:rRNA from 1 species
UACGUAGGGGGCAAGCGUUGUCCGGAAUCAUUGGGCGUAAAGAGCGUGUAGGCGGCCAGAUAAGUCCGCUGUGAAAUCUCGAGGCUCAACUUCGAGCUGUCGGUGGAAACUGUCUGGCUAGAGUCCGGAAGAGGAGAAUGGAAUUCCUGGUGUAGCGGUGAAAUGCGCAGAUAUCAGGAAGAACACCCGUGGCGAAGGCGGUUCUCUGGGACGUGACUGACGCUGAGACGCGAAAGCGUGGGGAGCAAACAGG